GAACGCUGGCGGCGUGCCUAAGACAUGCAAGUCGCACGAGAAAGUUCCCGCAAGGGAGCGUGUAAAGUGGCGCACGGGUGCGUAAUAAUUAGGUAAUGUGCCCUAUCGCUGAGAAUAACCAGGCGAAAGCUUGGCUAAUACUGAAUACUCCGGGAGAGACUGCGGUCUUUUUCGGGAAAGCCGUAAGGCGCGAUAGGAAUAGCCUAAUUCUCAUUAGCUAGUUGGUAGGGUAAUGGCCUACCAAGGCUACGAUGGGUAGCUGGUCUGAGAGGACGAUCAGCCACACUGGUACUGGAACACGGACCAGACUCCUACGGGAGGCAGCAGUUAGGAAUUUUGCGCAAUGGACGAAAGUCUGACGCAGCAACGCCGCGUGAGGGAUGAAGGCCUUCGGGUUGUAAACCUCUUUUAGUCGGGACGAAAAAAAUAUGACGGUACCGACAGAAACAGCACCGGCUAACCCUGUGCCAGCAGCCGCGGUAAUACAGGGGGUGCAAGCGUUACUCGGAAUCACUGGGCGUAAAGAGCGUGUAGGCGGUUUAGCAAGUCUGGUGUGAAAUCCCUGGGCUCAAUCCAGGAAGUGCAUUGGAUACUGCUAGACUAGAGUAUAGGAGAGGUGAGUGGAAUUCCCGGUGUAGAGGUGAAAUUCGUAGAU
rnacentral:rRNA from 1 species